CUUUAUCUAAAUUAAUUUAUAAUUGUAUUCACUGAGCUUUAUGUAUUCUUUGUGAUGAGAGAUGAGGCAUCAAGAAAGGCUUCUUUGGAUUCUGGGAUUCCUUCCCCUCACUAUCACUGGACAUACACGCUCAGAUUUUAAAAUGCCAAUUGAAAGUUAAAGCACAUUUUAAAAAAUCUGGAAUGCAUAAUUAAACCAAAUGGUUAGUUUUACUUGCUAUUAUGUGCAUAUAUAAGCAUUUUAAUUGUAUUCAGUUCUAUAAAAUAGAAACAUUUAGUUUUUUCUUUUUCCUUCAGCUUUCCAAAGAGAUAUUUACAGUACAUUCUUAGAUGUGAGAGUGGGCUAAAACACAGUCUUAUAAAUAGGACCAAAUUUCAUUGACUUAGAAGAAAAAUUCACCACUAAGUGGGCGUGUAUGUGUGUGUCUGUUGUUUUUGUGCCCAUACAUUGUAAUCCAUCUUCAGGCUCUGAAAUGAUAAGAGUAUUUUUGUGGAUCUCAUGGAAUUCAUUUACAGUCUCAGCAUGAAGGAAAAUCUCUUCACAUCAACAUAUUAGAGUAUAUAGUGGGAAGAAGUAACAAAGCUCUAAUUUUAGUACUGAAGAUUGGUUGAUUUUCUAUCUUUUAAUCUUUCUUUCCUCAUAGACCUCGCAUCCCCUGCCAGUAAACCUCCACUAUUAAAAUAUGAAAAAGCUCAAGGGACAGGCAGCUGGAUUUUCUCUCUAAAUUGCUCACUUGCAUGCACUGCCAGCUGCCAAUAUCAAGUGUUCAUCCCUGUCUCAUGACUUGCCAUUGACCUCAGUGGAAUAAACCACCGGUUGUGUGCCUAAUCCUGACUUAUCCCUGGAUCAGGGGUGUGCAAUAAAUACCAAGGGCUUAGUGAAGCCUAGGAGAGACCACCCAGGCAUUAAUUAGGCCAUUAGGUGAAAAAUGGAAUCCAGCAACAUACAUCAGAAAUAAAGCCAGAAGACCCACUGGAAACUAGUCUGGGAACAAACAAACGAACAGAAAAUCCUGGGCCAGCAAUACUAAACCUGUUUCAGUUAAAGAAGGUUUAAAUGAAGAUCCCUCAGUAGUGUUAAUAAAGACUGAGAGCAAACUGUCUCUGAUAUUUGGCAUUCAGCACAUUUCCUUGUAAGCACCCAAUGAAUCUCUGGAGGAUAAUUGCAAGAAUGAAUGUGAAUGUUGAAAGCCCAAUUUAGUGUUACAUCCUCCACUUUGACUCUAUUUUCCUGCAUGCCUACUUCUAUCUUCUUUCACUCUUGUCUUUUCUCUCUCUGCCUCUCUCUCAACUGAUAUUUUCUCCUUCCUCAUCCUUGUGACAUGGCAAUAUCAUGACCCACCUCCUGAGUUAAUAUCAUCUCUGUUGCAAAGACCAACCCAAAUGGCACCAAAUUUCUUAGUACAAAUUCCAUAUAAUCUGUACCCCCACCUUCUCAAAAAAAAGUACUGGAGUUAACUUAAAAAAAUGCUUUGACAUUUGAAUCCAGGCUAUUCAAAAGGAAUUUAAAAUUGGGUCAGGAAUCAUAUAAAGAAAGUAAGAUAAUGAAAUGAAAUAGUCAUCAUAACUGACACGUAACUUUACCUGGCAGGCAAGAUGAUUAGGGGAACAUUAUAGAUCAUAAACUGUCACUACCUAAUAGAAGGUAUUUUCAUUUUUUAAAAACCAGGUCUUAUCAUAAUGCUUUACAUAUAGUAGAUAUUCAGUAAACAAUUGUCAAAUGAUUGAAAGAAGGUCAAGAGUUUCAUGGAGAAAAUGUGACAUAUGCACACAGAAAGACACCAAAUAUGAUAUAGGCCUCUGUAAGUAUUUUUCACUCGGAAUACAAAAGGGGCUACUUCAGCCAUGUCUAUACAAGAUGCAGACAUCUUUUCUAUAAGGAUUCUGAUAUGAGCUGAGAGAUACCAUUAGACAGUAGUUCAGAGAAGGCAUGAGUCCUACUUACAACAAAUUUGGCUGUAUAUAGCAGAAAUGGACUCAAGUGGACCCAAACUAGUGGUGCAUGUAUCUUUUUGAAUGAGUGUUUUGUCCAGAUAUAUGCCCAGGAGUGGGCUUGCUAGAUCAUAUAUCUUUUUUUUUUUUUUGAAAAUUAAAAACUUGGCUUGUAUUCUCACUUAAAAAGUCAUCCUACCUUUAAAUGGAAAUGGGCCUCAGAUGGACUUAAGCAUGGAGUCCAAAUUUUCUACAGAAAAGAACUUAAAGUCUGCUCUAAAUCCUGCAUGAGAACCCAGAGAUCACACCCACUCCCCUGAUAAACAGGUUAUUGGAUAUAAAAGAGAUAUUUUGACCUUGGGAACUUUACUGGGAGGUGUUAAAGUCGACUGCCAUUUAGCACCAUAGCACCAUUCUGGCCCUGAGGAAUGUCUGGGUCAGAGAUGAGGGGCAGAAGACAUGUGAUGACAUCAGAUUCCCAAAUAUCUUUCCCUUGAAAGCACUUAUGUCAUAGGUGUCAUAGCUCAUAAUG
rnacentral:lncRNA from 1 species